UAGACAGUAUGGUUGGAAAUCUGGACUCAGCUGACAUCUGCCCCUUGAAUGAAAUCAUCAAAAGAAAUGAAGGAAAAAGGCUCAGGAUAUCACCAGCUUCACAUCACUUUCCCAACAGUUACAUGGAACAGCAGCUGCCAUACUGGAGGAAACCCAGCGAGUCUGUCCAAGAGGAGAUGUACAGCCACCAGCCAUAUUCCCUGGGGUCCCAUCACCAGCAGGAAUCCUGUGUCUUUGGAGCAGUCAUUAAUGUUCCAGGCAGUACAGCUCUGAGUGAAACAUUAUCUUUCAGUUUGAAAUGUCCCUAGGACAGGUCUAUUUUUACUGCUGGAAGGAAAGACCAAUGAUAAGCAAGAUGGAGAGCAAGAAGUUUCACAGGACAGAAAUGUUCAUUUCUGCAGAGCUGCAUCAGGUAUAUGGUCAAAAGAAAAAAAUUGACAAGAAGUCACCGUGUUUAACAGUGUGAGAAAGAGAUAAUCAAUAGAUAGACCAGACUACAGAUGUGACCUUUCAUGGCACUGAUGUUAAUGUAGUCUUAAACUGAAAAAAACCAAGCUUGCUUCUGUCGAUUAAACACAAGGAAAUGCAUGUAGAAGAUCAACUUUCUAUUAAUAUUCUUAUUUUUAAGUCUCUGUAAUUUUUUUUUGAAGUGAUGAAAGAUUAUUCAUUUUGAUACAUUGUUUCUCCAACAGAUAGGCAAUUAAUUGAAAUGGUCAAUAUUUUUUCUGAAAGUAUUAAUCACUGUAUAUUUGUUUCUGAUACAAGAUCAUAUUGUUCUAAGGAUUGUCAUUCUUGGAUGUGUUUGAUUCAAAUGAAAACAUAGGAAUCAGACUUGAUUCAAAAAUACAGCUAGUAAGCUGGUCUUCUGCUUCAUUCAGAAACAUUCCUGUCAGACACUUUUCAUGUGUUCUCAAAAACUCCUAGUGAUGUAAAUCCCUAAACUUUAUAAUAGAUUCUGCUACUGUUCCAUUAUAAAAUUUAAAAGUCCCCCCUUUUUUUUUUUCCAAUGGCACAGUUUCAUUUUGUAACAUAAACCUUCGAUAGUUCUUUAUAUAUUGGCAUAAUGGGAAUGACAAAUAGUCUAUAUAUGCCCUCUUCAAUUAAAACUUUUUUAAUAAGAAAUUUGUGACAGUGCUAGGCUGCAUUUGAAGAUGGGUAGAAAGGAAAAUAAAGUUUAAAAUUAUUAUAGUGUUCUUCUUAAU
rnacentral:lncRNA from 1 species